AUUGAACGCUGGCGGCAGGCCUAACACAUGCAAGUCGAGCGAGCGGCGGACGGGUGAGGUAUGUCUGGGAAACUGCCUGCUGGAGGGGGAGAACUACUGGAAACGGUAGCUAAUACCGCAUACCAUCAGAUGUGCCCAGAUGGGAUUAGCUAGUAGGUGGGGUAAUGGCCCACCUAGGCGACGAUCCCUAGCUGGUCUGAGAGGAUGACCAGCCACACGGGAACUGAGCCACGGUCCAGACUCCUAAGGGAGGCAGCAGUGGGGAAUAUUGCACAAGGGGCGCAAGCCUGAUGCAGCCAUGCCGCGUGUGUGAAGAAGGCGUUCGGGUUGUAAAGCACUUUCAGCGGGGAGGCGUUACCCGCAGAAGAAGCACCGGCUAACUCCGUGCCAGCAGCCGCGGUAAUAC
rnacentral:rRNA from 1 species